rnacentral:lncRNA from 1 species
GACCCCUGUGUUUAGGAUGACUCAAGGUUAAACUGUCAACCCUGAUGAUAUCAUCCGAAUCGUGCUCAACUCAAUUAGUCCUGUGACUCCUCACUAGGACUACCCUGGUCAAGAUUUUGCUAAAUUAAAACACGAUUGUACACAGCUCCUAAACUGGAGUGGUCAAUCCCAUCUUGACACACGCACCGACAAGUCAAGUACUUGACUACACCCAGCAACCUUCCGUCACUGAAUUAAAAAUUCAGGUAGUCCAGUGCCUAAGUGCAGUGAGUUGCUUGCAAGUCACCGUAGCGGUCUCAGGUCGGAGGGACAUUUAUAUCCAUAUCCCAUCAAAGCAAAUCUUGACAGCAGAAAUAGCUCCGGAGUUGUUCACGUUCAGUGCAGAUGUACCAUUACAUCUCACCUGUAUGCCAUACCAGUGUCUCCACACUCUUUGGUUAUGAGGACAACCAACCCAUAUGGCACACAACGACCUAUGCUCGAUAAACGUUGUCGUCCUUGGUAACAACGUAUCAUUUGAUCGCGAACAUGUUUAAGGACUAAGCGACAAAUCCUCCUUU